UACGUAGGUGGCAAGCGUUGUCCGGAAUUAUUGGGCGUAAAGCGCGCGCAGGCGGCCUCUUAAGUCUGAUGUGAAAGCCCCCGGCUCAACCGGGGAGGGCCAUUGGAAACUGGGAGGCUUGAGUAUAGGAGAGAAGAGUGGAAUUCCCAGUGUAGAGGUGAAAUUCGUAGAUAUUGGGAAGAACACCGGUGGCGAAGGCGGCUCUCUGGACCGUAACUGACGCUGAGGCGCGAAAGCGUGGGGAGCAAACAGG
rnacentral:rRNA from 1 species